AUGGCUGGUGGCCCUAGGCGAGGGAUAUAUAUGGACGAUGAUGGUCUGAUUGAGUAUGACAUGAGGAUCAAGAGAGGCAGGCAAGAAGGAGAUGACCUACAGGUGAUUGACGGCGCAACAAUCUUAAGCCCUUGGGGCACAUCGGAGCGGCCAUUCACAUUUAACAUCUCUGGCGACUGUGACGGUGCAGUCGCCAUAACUUUAGCAUAUCUUUCCAGCGCGGUUGAGGCCACAGUAGAGAUUCUCAUAUUAGAAGUGCAGAGCGGUUUCCAUAUGUGUCUCAGAUGUUUUACCAGUGGGUGUUAUGACGAGAUCCGGCUCUUCGAUGGCGCUGUUGUCAAGUCUUGUGCCCUGAAGAGGUAUGUGGUUGCCGUAGUGAGGUGGUCAUCCAUACGUUUGAAGUUCAAGAUAUGCACAGAAUCAUCCGGAUCCGAGUUCCAGCGUCGUUGUACCUUCAAGGCGAAGACUCAUGGGCAUAACACUCGAGAGAUAAAGACUGAUUUUGCGCUGAUCUCAGUGAAGGUCACUUGGUCGACGCUCGAUGAUGCCUGGUAG
rnacentral:rRNA from 1 species